rnacentral:rRNA from 1 species
UGGGGAAUAUUGGACAAUGGGCGCAAGCCUGAUCCAGCCAUGCCGCGUGAGUGAUGAAGGCCUUAGGGUUGUAAAGCUCUUUUGUCCGGGAAGAUAAUGACUGUACCGGAAGAAUAAGCCCCGGCUAACUCCGUGCCAGCGGCCGCGGUAAUACGGAGGGGGCUAGCGUUGUUCGGAAUUACUGGGCGUAAAGCGCACGUAGGCGGCUUUGUAAGUUAGAGGUGAAAGCCCGGAGCUCAACUCCGGAAUUGCCUUUAAGACUGCAUCGCUUGAAUCAUGGAGAGGUGAGUGGAAUUCCGAGUGUAGAGGUGAAAUUCGUAGAUAUUCGGAAGAACACCAGUGGCGAAGGCGACUCACUGGACAUGUAUUGACGUUGAGGUGCGAAAGCGUGGGGAGCAAA